CCGACAAGUUUACCUUUGAAAAAAUUAGAGUGCUUAAAGCAGGCUUUUGCUUGUAUAUUGUUGCAUGGAAUAAUGAAAUAAGACUUUGGUUUUAUUUUGUUGGUUUUCGAAACUGAAGUAAUGAUUAAAAGAGACUGCCGGGGGCAUAUGUAUGCUGGUGCUAGAGGUGAAAUUCUGAGACCAUCAGCAGACAAUCUACUGCGAAAGCAUUUGCCAAGAAUGUUUUCAUUAAUCAAGAACGAAAGUCAGAGGAUCGAAGACGAUCAGAUACCGUCCUAGUUCUGACCAUAAACUAUGCCAACUGACAGUUAGCGAUGAUAUUUU
rnacentral:rRNA from 1 species